rnacentral:tRNA from 1 species
CAGUUGAGUAGUUUAUUGAAAAUUUAAAUUUUGGGGAUUUAAGAUCUCUUUGG